GACGAACGCUGGCGGCAUGCCUAAUACAUGCAAGUCGAGCGAACAGAUGAAGUGCUUGCACUUCUGACGUUAGCGGCGAACGGGUGAGUAACACGUAAGGAAUCUACCUAUAAGCGGGGGAUAACAUUCGGAAACGGGUGCUAAUACCGCAUAAUAUCUUCUUCCGCAUGGAAGAAGAUUGAAAGACGGCUCUGCUGUCACUUAUAGAUGACCUUGCGGUGCAUUGGUUAGUUGGUGGGGUAAUGGCCUACCAAGACGAUGAUGCAUAGCCGACCUGAGAGGGUGAUCGGCCACAUUGGGACUGAGACACGGACCAAACUCCUACGGGAGGCAGCAGUAGGGAAUCUUCCGCAAUGGGCGAAAGCCUGACGGAGCAAUGCCGCGUGAGUGAAGAAGGCCUUCGGGUCGUAAAACUCUGUUAUAAGAGAAGAACAAAUUGUAGAGUAACUGCUACAGUCUUGACGGUAUCUUAUCAGAAAGCCACGGCUAACUACGUGCCAGCAGCCGCAGUAA
rnacentral:rRNA from 1 species